CCCCGAGCUCACACUUCAAAGCCUUUCGGGACUCCGGCAGAAGUCAAACACAACGCACCCCCGCAGCCAGACAGGCCGUCCCCCGCCGCUCCGCGCCCGCAGAUCGGCUCCCGCGCAGCCCCGCACUGCUGACAGCUGCAGCCGACGGGGCAGCCCGGCCCCGCCGUGCCCCUCCCUCAGCCCCGUACCAGCAUUUCCCGGGAAGCCGGCGAGCGGCCGGGAGGAGCGGAGCGCCCGCGGUGCCUCGCUGCGCUGCAGCCGCGGAAUCGCCUCUCCAAUGUGCCCCAGCUCACCUGGUCGUCCCUGUCUGGAGUUAGUAGGAAAUUAAAUGCACAUCCUCGCUCGUAGCCUUCUCGCGUCCUUCCCCCGGCUGCCCUCAGUUGGCCGGCGCCGCCCCCGUCCUCAGGUACUUCUCCAUGUCUGCAAACGACGGGGAAGCGUUAAUGUCUCGUCGGAGCACACCCGUCUCCAUGUGUGCGCAGGAAUGCACAUGUAGAUGAGAUUAUACCCUGCCACGCACACCUACCGCUGCGGCUGUUUCCUGAGAGACUGGGAGAGAGAAGAAAGGCAGGAGACAUCACAUGACCAGAACCUCGGGGAGGUUCAAUGCCUUGACCAGAGAAGGAAGCACAGUGACUAACAAGACCCACCUUCCAGUCCUCACUCCAGAACAUUAGGUUGUACGUUGCUGGCAUGCAACAUAGAUUUGUGCACAAUAUAGAGGCGCUACCACUUUGAAAUCAGAAACUGAACAUGCUUAUUGACAUCUGUGUUUUCUUCUCAUUUGCUCUUAGAAAUUUUUUUGCACUUAAACAAAUGAGUUGACCUGAUUGAAAAACAAAGUACAAAACUACCAAGAGCUCAGAAAGAUACUCAGUUACCUCUUGCAUAGAUUAUUUCUCAGUCUGUCUAAAACACAACUCUAGAAGGUAACAUGAGACUUCUAGCAGUUUUCAGUCACAAGUAGCGGCACCCAGGGUUUGUUAUGAAACAGAGGCCUUUGGCCUCAAAUUAGCAUCAUGCAAUAUUUGGAACAUCUACUGUCGUACACAAAGAAACUUCUGUUUGGGAACACACUAAGAUUUUGCAAGCCAAGGAGUUUCCUUGUUGCACAAAACUUGUAACAGUGUAAUGAAUAAUCAACAAUUUUCAACAUGCUAGAGAUAGGAAUCUGCCAUGCCCCUGAAUACAUAACCUAGGCAUCAUCAUGCACAAACAGAAUAAAUAUGAGAGAUAACACAGUCCACAGUUUCUGGUCUUGACUAAACAUGCAAAAAAUGCUUUAACACUGUAUACAAACUGGAUUCUCUCUGUCUUCUUAGUCUGUGUAGAAAGUCUUAUCCUCACCUUGAUCUUCUAUUCAUUCGUUCCGUUGUGAGAAAGGGAAAACAAACCUGCUCCUAAGCCAAAAUCCUUUCCUGUUUACUCCUCCAUGUAAUGGAGAAGUCAAACAACUAAAUGAGGACCAGUCUGAGGACCUUUUCAUGCUUGUUUCCUAGGUCCUACUGAAAAUCUGCUGGCAUUUCUGUUUUCUGUAGAAAUGCUUUGCCAUCUUGCUGAUGCACUAUUCUUACUUUAUAGCAUAACAGGUGUACCUUUCAGAAGAAAUUUCCUUCCGAAAAGCAGGAUCCCCUAUCACUUGUCAGGGGAGAGAAAGGAUGGAAGAAGGACCACUUCCUCACUCCCACUGAAGAGGACCCUGCAGUUAUUCUUUUCCUCUGCCUGCUGCUCACCACCCUUGCUCUCCCGGCAGCAGAAUCACACAGUGCCAGCUGCAGUUCCUAGAGGACAGUAACCUGAAAACAGCAUAAACAUUCAACCACCAGCAAACAUUAAAACCAUUGUUGGUAUGUCUCAGCAUGGCUGUGGGCUGUAAAACAACAGUCUUGUGUGAUUGAUGUAUCCAGCACAUACCACACAAUCCUUUUGAGCAUCCUGUAAAAAAAGAGCAGACAAGAGUGACACAAUUUUAUAGAGACCUCUGGAUAAGUGCCUCCCUGAACAAUUGCCAGACGGACAAGGAACUGUCAGAAACACCCUCCACAGAGUACCCUCCUUGCUUUCUCCAGAGGCAGUGCAUAUCUGAAUAAUCAUUUCUGGGUGCAGUAACAGCAUCCAGCCUGACACAUUCUCUCCCUCCUUUUAAUUUCUCUUCAUCCCACCCUGGCCCUCUAGUCAUAAUGUCUGUAUGCUUCCAUUCAUGAUGGCUAGCAGUAAUGGCAGUGCUGCUCCUCUUCCUAAAUCCAGCAGGUAGACCUGCGAAGGACCUCACUGUUGUCAGAGGGAAUAAAACUCAGCAGCAACAUCCGUGCCUAGUUUAUCAUGUGACCCCUUUAUGCCAAGUCUGUCAAUUUUCUGGCACCAUAGCUGAAGUGAAUCAAGCAGCUAUUAGCUGUAACAAUGGCAAGGAAUCCGCAGAUCUUAAAAAUAGUUCUGGGAUCCUUGAUGUCCAAAGAGUCAGAUCUUUAUCAUCUCCACCUCUUUAGAAAAGGCUACAUGGUUUUUCCUUAGGCUCUUAAAUCUCUGUUAUUCCCUCCAGUAAUAUAGUUGGCACAACACUACUUUAUUGCUUGUGUGCCAGUCACAGUCCCUGAGAAUGGUGUUUUCAAAGCCAUUUAAUCAUAGUGUUCAAAGCUAUCAUUUAAACAUCUUAAAAAACAGAUGAUAUGGACAUCAGUAGUAGGAAUUUGCCUAUCUAGUGGCAAAAUAUUUUGAACACCAUGUUGCUUCAACGUCCAGACGUAAGUACGAGUCCAGGAGUUAUAAAAAAGAUUCCCAUGUGGUUUUUGGAAAAAGAAAAUUGCACUGGAGAGUUCUGAGGAAAGUAACAUUUCACUUCUAGUAUUUGAUUGGUGUUAAAAUCAAUUGUCUUAUCUUUAUAAUUCAUGAAAAGCUGGCUCCAAAAGAAAUACAAAGAAAUAAAAUAUAUUUUUGAAAAACGAA